rnacentral:snoRNA from 1 species
AUUUUGUGAUGAGGACACUUUCGUAAUACUUCCUUGUACCUUUCCCAUGCCUCAUACAAGGACUCAUCAUCCAUUUGUUGGAAAGCAGUGAUCUCAUUCCUCAACUU